rfam:Picea glauca, whole genome shotgun sequence.
UUUUGUGUACAUGCCUAUGACAUUAACGCACUAGAUCCCAUGAGAGAUUCACAGUUAAGUGCACUUGGGAUAGAGUAAUACUGGGAUGGGUGACCCCCUAGGAAGUCCUGUUGUUUUACAUGCA